rnacentral:rRNA from 1 species
CAAGUCGAGCGGUACAUUUCUAGCUUGCUAGAAGAUGACGAGCGGCGGACGGGUGAGUAAUGCUUGGGAAUAUGCCUUAUGGUGGGGGACAACAGUUGGAAACGACUGCUAAUACCGCAUAACGUCUACGGACCAAAGGGGGGGAUCUUCGGACCUCUCGCCAUUUGAUUAGCCCAAGUGAGAUUAGCUAGUUGGUGAGGUAAUGGCUCACCAAGGCGACGAUCUCUAGCUGGUUUGAGAGGAUGAUCAGCCACACUGGGACUGAGACACGGCCCAGACUCCUACGGGAGGCAGCAGUGGGGAAUAUUGCACAAUGGGCGAAAGCCUGAUGCAGCCAUGCCGCGUGUGUGAAGAAGGCCUUCGGGUUGUAAAGCACUUUCAGUUGUGAGGAAAGGGGAGUAGUUAAUAGCUGCUUUCUGUGACGUUAACAACAGAAGAAGCACCGGCUAACUUCGUGCCA